CAUGGCUGGGGAUCUUUCACAUAGGUUUUCUCUCUUUUGGUCCCCAAAACAUCUUCCUCUUUUAAAAAGCAGUUUUGCAUUAGUGCCUGUUGUGGAAGAAAGCAUCAUUCGGCUGGGUGCGGUGGGUAGCUUACGCCUGUAAUCCCAGCACUGUGGGAGGCUGAGGCAGGCGGAUUGCCUGAGGUCGGGAGUUUAAGACCAGCCUGACCAAUGUGGAGAAACCCCGUAUCUACUAAAAACACAAAAUUAGCUGGGCAUGGUGGCGCAUGCCUACAUUCCCAGCUACUAGCUACUUGGGAGGCUGAGGCAGGAGAAUCACUUGAACCUGGGAGGAGGAGGUUGCAGUGAAUUGCGAUCUUGCCAUUAUACUCCAGCCUCAGCAACAAGAGUGAAACUCCAUCUCCAAAAAAAAAAAAAAAAAUGGCUGGGUGAAGUGGCUCAUGCUUUUAAUUCCAGCACGUUGGGCGGAUCAGGAGGUCAGGAGCUUGAGACCAGCCUGGCCAACACAGUGAAACCCCAUCUCUUCUGAAAACACAAAAAUUAGCUGGGCGUGGUGGUGGGUGCCUGCAAUCCCAGCUAUUUGGGAGGCUGAGGCAGAAGAAUCGCUUGAACGCGGGAGGCAGAGGUUGCAGUGAGCAGAGACUGUGCCACUGCACUCCAGCCUGGGUCACAGAGUGAGACUCCAUCUGGGGAAGUGGAGGGAUGACUGGAAAAGCUUGUGUGGAACAGUUCAGACGAACACAAAAGAGAGAUUGUGCGGAUGUCCUUCAUCCCUAUUGCUGUCUUAGAUAACUGUCUGUGCACUGCCAGGGUAAAUCAUUUCACUAAUAGUCAUUAAAUAUUCUAGUUUGUAUCUUUCUUACUUUCUUUUUUGAGACGGAGUUUUGCUCUUGUUACCCAGGCUGGAAUGCAAUGGUGCGAUCUCAGCUCACCGCAACCUCUGCCUCCUGGGUUCAGGCAAUUCUGCUGCCUCAGCCUCCCGAGUAGCUGGGAUUACAGGCACACAUCACCAUGCCCAGCUAAUUUUUUGUAUUUUUAGAAGAGAUGGGGUUUCACCAUGUUGACCAGGAUGGCCUCGAUCUCUUGACCUCGUGAUCCACCCUCCUCGCCCUCCCAAAGUGCUGGGAUUACAGGCAUGAGCCACCGUGCCCGGCCCCUAGUUUGUAUCUUUUAAAGAACUUUUUUUUUUUUUGAGACAGAGUCUUGCUCUGUUGCCAAGGCUGGAGUACAAUGGUGAGAUCUUAGGUCACUGCAACCUCCACCUCCUGGGUUCAAGUAAUUCUCCUGUCUCAGUCUCCCAAGUAGUUGGGAUUACAGGCACCUGCCACGAUGCCCAGCUAAUUUUUUGUAUUUUUAGGAGAGGCAGAGUUGUACCAUGUUGGCCAGGCUGGUCUUGAUCUCCUGACCUCAGGUGAUCCACCCACCUUGGCCUCCCAAAGUGCUGGGAUUACAAGUGUGAGACACCGCAUCCAGCCUCAAAAAGAACUUAAAAAAUAAAAAUAAAAAAAUGCCCUAAACAGUUAACAAUAAUUCAUUAUUAGUGUCACAUAGACAGUGUUUGGAGCCUCCCCAUCUCAAAAUUGGCAGAGUUUGUUUGUAUCAGGGUCUAGAUUAUUUUUUAUUGGUUGUGUGGGUAUGCUAUUGGGAUGAACCCUCAUUUAAUCCAUCCUGUUGAUGGACAGUGAACUGAAUGUAAUUUACAUAAUGAAAGCCUAUCCUUCUAAUGGGGUGGUACUAGGAGGUGGGGCCUUUGGGAGGUUAUUAGGGAUGGAUAAGGUCUUGAGCGCAGAGCCGCCAGGAGGAGAUACAGUGUCUUAAAGGAGGUCCUAGCAUGAGUUUGUUCUGUUUCUACCUUGUGAGGACUCAGCGAGGAGCCAGCCUCAGGAACCAGAAAGCAGGACCUGAUCACUGACUUCUACCCUCCAGAACUGGACCUUCCAGAGUAGUGGACUGUCUUCACACCUUUUCUCAUCAGUGCCCUCCUUGGGGGCCUGUGGAUCCCCAGAGGAAGAGUCUCCUGGACUGAGCACACAGGCAUGGUCACCACAGGGCUAUGUGGCCAGGGUGUUGAGAGGCUGGGAGGGGAAGCUGGAGGGGGAGCAAUGGAGGUAGGGUGGGCGGGGCACUAUCUCCUUUCUGCACAGUCUCUUUCUUGCUUAAGAAUUUGCACCUCUUGUGUGGGCAACGAAUGCAACUUCAGGGUUACAAGAGUUGUGGUCACUUGUGCAUUUUUUUUAAAAAGAUGGCAGUAAUAGGACCCUUUCCAGGUCUGCGACUGAUUUUUGUGAGCAACAACAGAAUGGGAUUUAUAAACGUGAGUACAACAGCAGGCGUCUCUGUAUGAGCUGUGUGUGGGCACACUGCAUCCUCAGGCAUUGUCCUCCGUUCCUGAGUCCUUAGGACUCAGCACCAGGCAGUGAACAGAUCCCGUUUCUAAGGUAUCUUCUACAUGUUCUGCUGCCACGGGGAUGAGGAGCAGCCUCUGCUCCACCCAUCUCCACCAAUGAGUAAAAGCCAAUUCCCUACCAAGGCAGGGAACACUCCACCUCCCACCUGCAGUCCCUGACCCUGUGCCGUUUACAGUGUUCCUUCACUCGUGAGUUGUCAUGAUGAAGAAAGAAGUCAGUAGCAAACUGACCCUCUUAUGGAGUUAUGACGUGGGGCUGUAUGGGGACAAUGAUCUGCAGGGGACCUGGGGUCUGGCAUGGCCUUGACACUGAGCAAGUGAGAAGGCAGCUGACCUUUGACAGCUACUAUUUUGUUUGUCCAGCAUGCAGGUAAGUUAGUCCCGUGCAGGUAAAUUACUCCAGUAGACCAUGACGAGGGGCACUAACUUGAAAAAAUGGCCAUGUGCCGAACUAAGAACUUCACAGAUCCUCACCCAGACCAAUGUUCAGAGACAGGGAGCCUCGACGUGAGAACCAGAGAAAGCUGAAGACGAGGAGCUGAUCCCCUCACAGGUACAGUAGUCCCCUCUCAUCCUCUAAAUGUGUUCCAAGAGUUGACAUUACCCCUCUGGCCUUAUUAGCUUCCUGGCCUGUCUCACCGUGUCUUCAUGACACGGCCUAAAAAUCCUGGGCUUACUCAGCUGGCCAUAACUUCCUUCCAUGUCCACCUGUUCUUACUCACCUGGUUGUAAUUUGCUGGCCUCAAUCUCCCUUCAAAACCCAGCUGAUUUUACCUGCUAAGAUUUACUUGCCUGCCUUCUGACAUUAUGAGGCUUUUGUCAUUGCUCUCCUGCCCUUGCUCCUCCCUGGUCUUAAUCCAACUCAUGUUAAGAUUCUGGCCAGAUUCUCUUAGCCUUCCCUACCUGGCCUAACCCUACGGGCCUUAACCUCCUGGCCUGAAUUAGCCACCUAGUUUUCCCAACUACUCUUACUGAUUCUACAUUACUCACAUGGCCUCCACACUGGGUUUUCACAACUGUCCUUAGCCUUCUGAUUUUAUCUAACAGGACUUAAACUCCUGGAUUUACCUCCCUAGGUUUUCUUACUUGGUUUUCUCAUCUCCCUGCUCUUUUCCUGUAACUUUACCUGCAACUCCAUGCCCCCGCCCCAUCUUGCGUUGCCCACCUGACCUUAACCUCACAAUCUUCCCAACCUGGAUGACCAACAUAGUGUACCAACCUGGCAUUCACACCUGGCCUUAACCUUUCAUUCUAACUCACAUGGCCUUAACCUCCUGACCUAGUGUGCCUAGUAUUAACCUCUCGGCAUUACCCAGGUGGAGUUAGCCAUCUACCUCUAUUUGGGAAGGCAUUAACUUACUGGUGUAAACCCCCCAAACUUUUCAGUCAUUUGGCUUUCUGACCUGGUCUUAAUCUCAUGGGUUUGCCAAGUUAGAUGUUCCCAUCUAUCUUAUGAACCUCCUGGCCUUACCCACCCGUUAUGAAUCUCCUGGCUUUAUGCACCUAGCUUACCGACCUGACUUUACUCAGCUCAUUUUAGGGCCGUGGACAGAUGUUAUUAGCCUUCCUCAUCUGUCCUAACCUAAGGGCCUUAACCUCAUGGCCUAACAACUUGUAUUAGCAACCUAGUUUUCCUAUCUAGUCUUAAAGACCAUAGGUUACCCACAUGGCCUUCACACUUGGUGGAUACAACUGUCUCUAACUUUCUGGUUUUAUCUACCAGGCAUUAACCCUGGAUAUAUCUCCCUAGGUGGGCUCCCCUGCCUUAUUUUUCCUAUAUUUACACCCCUGCUUCCCCAUUACUUUUGCAUUCAAACGCCUCACAUUAGCCAUGUAACUCAAGAAUAUACCAAGUAGGAAGCUGUUAAAUACCUUCCACUAAUUACAAACUAAAAGGUAUCCUCCACAAAGGAGCCAUGGGGGCAGGGUAAACUUAAUGUUUCUCAGCAAUGCUCACCUGCCCUCUUCAGAUGCCUGGCCUCAGCCUGGAUAACUUAAUCUGCUGGCUUCAUAUCCUACUGGUGUUUACCACCUGUUUCAUUCGGCUGGCCUCCACCUCCUAGCCUUCACUCCAGUCAUACUCACCUAGUAUUUACCUAUAGUCAUUAUUUGACUGGCUUGGCAACUUGCCCUUAUUCCUAAUGGGUGUUUUCCCUGUUGAUUUCACAGCCUGGGGUUACUGAGAUAGUCCUUUAUUGAGCUAGAUUUAGAUACCUGGUUUUAACAACCUUGACAAAAUUAUUGAUUAAACCCCAGGCCCAGCCCCGUCCCCAACCCUAGCUUUACCCCCGACUCUAUGUCCCAGGCCCAUGCCCCAGCCCCAGCUUUACCCACAAUGCCAUGUACCAGCCCCAAGCCCAGCCCCAGCCGUAGCUUAAUCCCAACUCCAUGGCACAGGCCCAGACCCAGCUUUACCUCCAACUUGAUGUCCUAGCCCCAGCCCCAGCCCCAGCCCCAGUCUCAGCCCCAGGCCUAGGCCCAGCUGUAGAUUUCUCCCCAACUCCGUGUCCCUGGCCCAGGCCCUUAACCCCUACUGGGUGUUCUCCCUGUUGAUAUCACAACCUGGGGUUACUGAAAUAGUCCUUUAUUGAGCUGGAUUUAGACACCUGGUUUUAACAACCUGGCGAAACUCAGCCAACCUUAUUGACCUGUUUGCGUUUGUCACCUUAUUUUGUCCUCAUGGUAUGACGAACUUCAUUAUCUAUCUGGCCUUAUUAACCUCCUUGCCCUACUCACAGUCUUCAUGACUUUGCCUAAAAUUCCUGGCCUUACCGACUGGCCAUAACUUCCUGCCACUGUCCACAUGUUCUUAGUCACCUGGUUGUAAUUUGCUGGCCUCAAUCUCCCAUCAGACUCACCUGAUUUUACCCAAUAAGAUUUACCCACCUGCUUAGGCAGCUCCUGCCACUGCUCCCCCCCUGCCCUUGCCUUGUUGCCCUACCCACCUCAUUUUAUAGCCCAGGCCAGACCCCAUUCACCUUCCCCAGCUGAUAUAACCCUGUGGGUCUUAAGUUCAUGGCCUUUAAAAUCUGUAUCAGCCACCUAGGUUUCCCACCUCUUAAUGGUAUACAUGACCCACAUGGCUCCACACUUAGGUUUCACAACUGCUCUCACCGUUCUGGUUUUAUCUAACAGGCUUUAAGCCACUGCCUGGUUUUACCAAACUUCAUGGCCCCACCCUAGCCCCAGCCCUAGGUUUACCCCAAACACCAUGGCCCAGGCCCUGCCUCAGCCCCAGCCCCAACCCCAGUCCCAGCCCCGACCCUAGCUUUAUCCCCAACUCCAUGUGCCAGGCCAUGCCCCAGCCCGAGCUUUACCUGCAACUCCAGGUAUCAGCCCCAAGCCCAGCCCCAGCCAUAGCUUUAUGUCAAUUCCAUGGCAGAGGCCUAGCCUCAGCCCCAGCUCCAGCCCCAGCCCCAGCUCCAGC